UACUAAUAUCUAUUAUAAUUAUAUUAAUUUUAACCUAACCCAACUCUUAUUUUCUUUCUUCUUUCUUCCGUUCUCUCUCUGUUAAGGUCUUUGCAGUCAGCUACUGACGUCACCAACCUCCAUACGUCAUCACGUCUACGUCACACCAAGCCCCGAGAAGCUUCAACGAAUAAUGGGGUCUGUAAAAAUGUAACCGUGAAGAACUAACGACAUAUGAUGAUAACAUGAUGACGUCACGAUGACGAAGCACAAAUAAAAAGACGCCACAUGCCCAUUGCGGUACAGGAGAAUUGUAACCGGCAGACGGAGAGGAAGGAGGAGUGAAUGGAACACAAGACUGUUGUAAAAUGUAACCGCGUGGUGGCGGUAGAACUGCAAUAAAUUUUGAAAUAUAUGAUGCUCACUGUAAUCUUGCACUUAUAUUACGGUUUUAUGUUUAGUUUUUUUGUAUGUUUUUUUCUGUUUGUUUGUAUGUGCGUCUCUGUUUGUAUGGUUGUGUUGAGGUAUGGGGUAUCUUAUGGGGUAGCUUAAUCUACGAUAUACAUUACCAUAACUUAGUUAAUAUUAUUUAUACACUAUACUAUACAUUAUUAUAUAUCACUAUACAUUACUAUAACUACAUACAUUAUUAUAUACUAGUAUACGUUGUUAUUACUACAUAUAUUAUAACCUUACAUAGGGUUUGGCCAACCCAUCUAAUUUAAGAUUAUGUUUAAUUACAAUCCAAUUUCAGGUUGUCCUAAUUUAACCAAUGCCUUCCUUCUUCUCUUUACUUCCCCUCUCUCUCUCUCUUUGGUUCUCUCCCAUCCGGCCCAGGUAAAGGUGGCCGGCCACCUACGUCAUCAACCUGCAUACGUCACCAACUACGUCACGGUUUUGCUUUACAACUAACCACAAAGUGGUUCUAUACGUCACGGGGUAUGACGUCACCGAAUAUGACAUCGCUAAAGAUCUGAACGCUUUUAACCAAUCACAGGCAGCAUCUGUUGCUGUGGUUGAGGAGAAAUGGCGCGCAUGCGCACUGCGUUCUACCCAUUAGUUUGGGUUGUCGUCACUCCUAGCUCAGUGUAGGCGCGGUUUAGCCGUGCAUUUGGUCUUGCAGCAAGAUCGUAGUUCCCUCCUGUUCCUUUAACGUUAAUAUCCCUUUACCACCUAACCCCCUUUAUCCUAUUAACCGCGUUAGACACAUUCCCAACACUGUCACACGAAUGUUUAGCUUGCCGUGGUAAACCAGUUAACGAGUUAGUUUAGUUAUGACGACAUGAUGACGUCACGAUGACGAAGCACGAAACAAGAAGACACCACAUACCCAAAGGGGUACAGGGGAAAUGUAACCGGGUCCUGCAGACGGAGAGGACGAAGGGA